rnacentral:rRNA from 1 species
AUUGAACGCUGGCGGCAUGCUUUAUACAUGCAAGUCGAACGGCAGCGCGGGCUUCGGCCUCGUGGCGCGUGGCGAACGGGCGAGUAAUGCACCGGUACGUGCCCAGCAGUGGGGGAUAGCAUGGCGACAGCCGGAUUAAUAUAGCACACGAUAUGAGGGUGAACGCCGGGGUUCGAUAGGGCACGAGCUUUUUGCGCGGCCGUUGUCGGAUUAGCUAGUUGGUAGGGUAAAGGCUUACCAAGGCAACGAUCCGUAGCUGAUCUGAGAGGGCGACCAGCCACACUGGAACUGAGACACGGCCCAGACUCCUACGGGAGGCAGCAGUAGGGAAUUUUGGGCAAUGGGGGCAACCCUGAUCCAGCCAUGCCGCGUGCGUGAAGAAGGCCUUCGGGUUGUAAACCGCUUUUAUUCGGGAAGAAAACCUCUGUACGAAUACCCCGAGGGGAUGACGGUACCGGAAGAGAAAGCAACGGCUAACUACGUG